rnacentral:rRNA from 1 species
UGGGGAAUUUUGGACAAUGGGCGAAGGCCUGAUCCAGCAAUGCCGCGUGUGUGAAGAAGGCCUUCGGGUUGUAAAGCACUUUUGUCCGGAAAGAAAUCCUUGGCUCUAAUACAGUCGGGGGAUGACGGUACCGGAAGAAUAAGCACCGGCUAACUACGUGCCAGCAGCCGCGGUAAUACGUAGGGUGCAAGCGUUAAUCGGAAUUACUGGGCGUAAAGCGUGCGCAGGCGGUUUGCUAAGACCGAUGUGAAAUCCCCGGGCUCAACCUGGGAACUGCAUUGGUGACUGGCAGGCUAGAGUAUGGCAGAGGGGGGUAGAAUUCCACGUGUAGCAGUGAAAUGCGUAGAGAUGUGGAGGAAUACCGAUGGCGAAGGCAGCCCCCUGGGCCAAUACUGACGCUCAUGCACGAAAGCGUGGGGAGCAAACAGGAUUAGAUACCCUGGUAGUCCACGCCCUAAACGAUGUCAACUAGUUGUUGGGGACUUCAUUUCCUUAGUAACGUAGCUAACGCGUGAAGUUGACCGCCUGGGGAGUACGGUCGCAAGAUUAAAACUCAAAUGAAUUGACGGGGU